GCUAACAUGCUAACCAUGCUACUUAUCUAAUGGUUUCUAAUAGUUUUGCUAAAUAUGUUAACUAUGCUAGCAAUGUAUGCUGAAAUUUUAACUAUGC